AAUAUUAUUGUUCCGCUCCCCAUCUGAUUCCUACGCUCAUUAGCUUGAUCCCAACGACGUCUCUCCCCCUCUGCCUCCCAUCUCCGGCGAUGCCCCCACCACCAUGCCGCCGGAGUUCAAUCCCUACGUCUCUCCUUCACCUGCCCCCAAGAAUACGAUGGACUCUGUGCCGUAAUUUUCAGACGACAUCUCAAAGAUCCGUCACGAGUUUGAUUUGGCGAAACAGAGGUUCCUCAAUACCUCUAAAGCUCUAAUUAAUAUGCCUAAGAUGCAAUCCUCAAGCAAGAUCGAGAGAUACUGAGACAGGCGAUCAGGAAGAUGACAUCCACGGCCAUAAUUAUUGCCAGAUUUUUAAUAUGACGCACCAUACUGUCGUUUUGCAUAUGCAGACUAAUACCAAGAGGUUGUUCUUGCUACUAUCUUGCCGGAAAAUCCUGGAAGCUUUAAGAAAUUCUGUGAACUGGUUGUUGUUGUUAUUCGUUCUCUAAUCCAGACAAUGUUGUGUAUUGAUGCUUAGUGUUGGAGUGCACACUCCCAGAGAGCUCAAAACACUAGAGAAGAGAAUGGAAUCUUCCUAGUUCAGAACUAGGAGCCUCACAACCAGUGACUUAGUAAGAAAUUACUUGCGUUAUUUGAUGGGUGGAAGAUCGAGUAUUGGAGAAGAGUUUCUCUACCAGUUCAGCUUCCCUGAGAGACAUGGUGCUCUGAUGAACUUCUUGGACUCUUUCAGUCCACGUUGGAACAUUAGCCUUUUCCAUAAUAAACCCAUAGGGUGGGGCAGGCACGAACGUGCUGGUCAAGAUCCAAGUGCCGGAGCAAAACAUGGCGUAUUUCAAAACCCGAGCUCAAGUUCUUGGACACGAGUACGUCUUGGUAAGUGAAGACACUGUUUUCAAGCUUUUUGUGCACUGAGUUUAAAGCUGUGAUGAAGAGACCAAAACCAAGAAGGAAGUAGAAGAAUACAUGAGAUGUCUUCUUGAGCUCUCUGUUAGAAACAUCUGUGAGUCUUGGGUCUGUUGGAUGGGAUUUUAUGUCACGGGCCUAUUACGCUAGCCCAAUAUGUAACAUUUAUUGCAUGUGAGCUCUCAUCGUUUUAAUGUAGACUUUCGAUACUUUUCAGCAAAUACAUUGUAGUUAUUGUUUAAUGAUAACACAAUCUCAUCUCA